UACGAAGGGGGGCUAGCGUUGCUCGGAUUGACUGGGCGUAAAGGGCGCGUAGGCGGUUCGUACAGUCAGACGUGAAAUUCCUGGGCUCAACCUGGGGGCUGCGUUUGAUACGUGCGGACUUGAGUGCGGAAGAGGGUCGUGGAAUUCCCAGUGUAGAGGUGAAAUUCGUAGAUAUUGGGAAGAACACCGGUGGCGAAGGCGGCGACCUGGUCCGAUACUGACGGCUGAGGCGCGAAAGCGUGGGGAGCAAACAGG
rnacentral:rRNA from 1 species